CUUUUUCCUCUUAUGAUCUGUUCCCAACACUACAGAUGAAGUGAUCUUUUUUCCCCCCUUUUUAAAAAAGUUAUUUUUUUAUUUUUGGUAAGGUUGAAUGCACUUUUGGUUUCUGGUCAUGUUCGGUUGGUCAAAGAUAAAUGCAAAGGAAAAAAUAUUUUCCAAAGUCCAUGUGAAACUGUCUCCCAUUUUUUGGCUUUCAAGGGGGUUCAGUUUGGGUUGCUUGUCUGUUUCUGGGUUGGGGGGAGAGUUGGUUGGGUGGGAGGGAGCCAGGUUGGCAUGGAGGGAGUUUACAGGAAGUAGGCAGGGCCAACGUCGAAGCCGAAUUCCAGGUCUGGGGCACCACUGUCCAAGGGGGCCACAUCGAUGAUGGGCAGGUGGGAGGUCAUGGUGGUUUUGUAUUCGAUCACUGUCUUGCCCCAGGCUCCAGUGUGACUUGUGCAACCAUCAACGGUGAUGCCGUAGGUGAAGUGGCUGUUGCCCUCCACACGGAUCUCAAUCUCGUUGGAGCCCUGGAGGAGCAGAGCCUUCCUGAGGUUGCCAGUCUGCUGGUCCAUGUAGGCCACGCUACUCUUGCAGUGGUAGAUAAUGUUCUGGGAGGCCUUGGUGGACAUCAGGCGCAGGAAGGUCAGCUGAAUGGCCACAUCGGCAGGGUCGGAGCCCUCACCACCAUACUCAAACUGGGAUCCGUCGGUCAUGCUCUCGCCAAACCAGACGUGCCUCUUGUCCUUGGGGUUCUUGCCGAUGUACCAGUUCUUCUGGGCCACGUUGGGCUGAGUGGGGUACAAGCAGGUCUCUCCAGUCUCCAUGUUGCAGAAGACCUUGAUGGUAUCCAGGUUGCAGCCUUGGUUGGGGUCAAUCCAGUACUCUCCACUCUUCCAGUCAGAGUGGCACAUCUUGAGGACCAGGGGGCCCGAUGGGGCCUGGGAGACCAUUGAGUCCAUCUUUGCUAGGAGCACCAGCAGAGCCAGGGGGACCUCGGGGACCAGCAGAACCAGAGACUCCAGAGGGACCUUGUUCACCAGGAGAGCCGGGAGGGCAAGGGGGACCCUGGAGGCCAGAGAAGCCACGGUGACCCUGGAGGCCAGAGAAGCCACGGUGACCCUUUAUGCCUCUGUCACCCUGUUCGCCAGUCUCGCCUUUGUCACCACGGGGGCCUUGGGGUCCAGUGGGUCACGGGAGCCAAAAAGGACGAUAGAACUGGUGGGACCAUAUCCCAGUUCUGUUCAAAAUUUUCCAAGUUUGCCUGUUUCACUUACAGUCAAAAUCAAAAAGGCAUGAAAGGUCCCCAGACCCUUAUGACCUCAUCUGUUUCUUCCACAUUUGCUCAUUCUACUGAAGGC
rnacentral:lncRNA from 1 species